rnacentral:lncRNA from 1 species
ACGUACACUCCUUUUAUCACAGGUGGAACUCCAGGAAUUUGCUCGAUACGCUCAUUUUGCUCCGUGAGUUGUUUAUGCAAGGUUAGUACUAAAUUUUGAAGAUGAGAAUUACCUGAAUUACCUGGUUCUUCUUCUUGUGAGUCACUGGGGGUUGGUCCAUUACCAUAAUUAACUAGACCAGAUCGGAGGUUUUCAACGUGUUGUUAUUAGGCGUUGUUGGCGCAACAAGCAAUCAAUUAACUAAAGC